AUUUUAACCAUUUAAACUCACAUAUAAUCCAUCAAUUACAAUUUAGGGCAUAGAUACACAUAUCCCUAAUUUUAUUAAACUAACUCACCUCAAAUUCAUCAAUUGACAUCAAAUAAUCAAUUUACUCCAUCAAUCAUCAUCAUAGACAUCACAUAGACUCAUUCUCAUCAUCAAUUCAUCAUUUAACACAUCAACUCACCAAUUCCAAAUUUUUGGGUAAACUAAACUCAAUCGACUUUCACAUCUCAAAGCAUAUACUUUCACAACACACAUCAAUCAUCAACAAACACCACAUAGACCUCAUUUUUCACCCCAAAUCAAGGAAAAAAAAAAUUUGAAGGGUAAAGACCCAUUUUUGAAAAUUUUAAGAACAAGGGAGGGGUGAUUUUCUUUCUUCAAUCUUUCGAGAAUACUCACAUACAAUAUCAUUCAAGCAAGAUUUAUGGAAUACAUGAUCACUUACCCAAAUUUCUCACCAAAACUCACACUUUCUCACUCUAGCUUGGAAACCUUUCUUCAAUGAUCCUCUUGAAUUCAAGUAGCUAGGAUGUUUUUAUGUAAGAUUUAAGAGUGAAUUGAGGUGUUUGGUAUAAUUUUUUUU
rnacentral:lncRNA from 1 species